rnacentral:rRNA from 1 species
CACCCGCAGCUCGAGUGGUGGUCACUUUUAUUGAGCCUAAAGCGUUUGUAGCCGGUUUUGCAAAUCUUCAGAUAAAUUCCUCUGCUUAACAGAUGAUCUUCUGAAGAGACUGCGAGACUUGGGACCGGGUGAGGUUGAAGGUACUUCCGGGGUAGGGGUAAAAUCCUGUAAUCCUGGAAGGACGACCGGUGGCGAAGGCAUUCAACUAGAACGGAUCCGACGGUGAGGAACGAGGGCUAGGGUAGCAAACCGGAUUAGAUACCCGGGUAGUCCUAGCUGUAAACACUGCCCACUUGGUGUUGCCCCUCCGAUGAGGGGAGGCAGUGCCGGAGCGAAGGUGUUAAGUGGGCCGCUUGGGGAGUAUGGUCGCAAGGCUGAAACUUAAAGGAAUUGGCGGGGGAGCACCGCAACGGGAGGAGCGUGCGGUUUAAUUGGAUUCAACGCCGGAAAACUCACCGGGAGCGACCUUUGGAUGAGAGUCAGCCUGAUGAGCUUACUCGAUAGAAGGAGAGGUGGUGCAUGGCCGUCGUCAGCUCGUACCGUAGGGCGUUCACUUAAGUGUGAUAACGAGCGAGACCCCCAUCUCUAAUUGCUAACGUGCAUUCGCGUGCACGCGCACUUUAGAGGGACCGCCAGUGCUAAACUGGAGGAAGGAGGGGUCGACGGCAGGUCAGUACGCCCCGAAUCUCCCGGGCAACACGCGCGCUACAAAGGGCAGGACAAUGAGUUGCCACCUCGAAAGGGGGAGCUAACCUCGAAACCUGUUCGUAGUUAGGAUUGAGGGCUGUAACUCGCCCUCAUGAAUGUGGAUUCCGUAGUAAUCGCGGGUCAACAGCCCGCGGUGAAUAUGCCCCUGCUCCU